rnacentral:rRNA from 1 species
UAGAGGAAGUAAAAGUCGUAACAAGGUUUCCGUAGGUGAACCUGCGGAAGGAUCAUUAUUGAAAUAAACCUGAUGGGUUGUUGCUGGUUCUCUAGGGAGCAUGUGCACGCUUGUCAUCUUUAUAUCUCCACCUGUGCACUUUUUGUAGACCUGGAUAAUCUUUCUGAAUGCACUUGCAUUUCAGGUUUGAGGAAUUGACUUCAUGUCUCUCCUUACAUUUCCAGGCCUAUGUUUCUUCAUAUACCCCUAUGUAUGUUUCAGAAUGUAACAGGAUGGGCCUUUUGUGCCUAUAAAUAUAUACAACUUUCAGCAACGGAUCUCUUGGCUCUCGCAUCGAUGAAGAACGCAGCGAAAUGCGAUAAGUAAUGUGAAUUGCAGAAUUCAGUGAAUCAUCGAAUCUUUGAACGCACCUUGCGCUCCUUGGUAUUCCGAGGAGCAUGCCUGUUUGAGUGUCAUUAAUAUAUCAACCUCUUCGGCUUAUGCUUGUUGAGUGUUGGAUGGUGGGGGUUUUGCUGGUGUCUUAUGAAGUCAGCUCCCCUGAAAUGCAUUAGCGGAACAAUUUGUUGACCGUUCAUUGGUGUGAUAAAAUAUCUACGCUAUUGACGUCAGUCAGUUCAGCUUCUAACAGUCCAUUGACUUGGACAAAUUUUCAUUAAUGUGACCUCAAAUCAGGUAGGACUACCCGCUGAACUUAAGC